CUUCCUCGAUCUGCUGCGGACAGAUGAAGUGAAUGUGGGUAUCAACCCCACCAGCGGUCACGAUCAUGCCUUCACCGGCAAUGAUCUCGGUUGCGCCACCGAUGGCCAUGGUGACAUUCGGUUGAAUAUCGGGGUUGCCGGCUUUGCCGAUUCCGGCGAUCUUGCCACCCUUGAUACCGAUGUCGGCCUUCACGAUGCCCCAGUGAUCAAUGAUCACGGCAUUGGUGAUGACCGUAUCCAUCACGUCAUGAUGGUUACGUUGUGAUUGCCCCAUACCAUCGCGAAU
rnacentral:sRNA from 2 species